rnacentral:rRNA from 1 species
GCCAUGCAUGUUUAAGUUCAUACCUUUGAAUGGUGAAACCGCGAAUGGCUCAUUAAAUCAGUUAUAAUUUCAUGGGAUGUGAUUUGUUAAUUGGAUAACUGUGGUAAUUCUAGAGCUAAUACAUGCUUAUACGUUCAACUUCGGUUGGAUGUGCUUUUAUUAGUGCAAGCCAAUGUCUCCGGACAGCAGGUGGUGACUCUGAAUAACUUUGCCGAGCAUUACAGCUUCAAGCUGUUGCUAUUCCUUCAAAGUAUCUGCUCUAUCAACUGUCGAUGGUAUAUUAUAUGUUUACCAUGGUUGUAACGGGUAACGGAGAAUUAGGGUUCGAUUCCGGAGAGGGAGCCUGAGAAACGGCUACCACAUCUAAGGAAGGCAGCAGGCGCGUAAAUUACCCAAUCCCGGCACGGGGAGGUAGUGACAAAAAAUAACAAUGCGAGACUCAUUAGAGGCUUCGUAAUUGGAAUGAGUACAUUCUAAAUCCUUUAACGAGGAACUAUUGGAGGGCAAGUCUGGUGCCAGCAGCCGCGGUAAUUCCAGCUCCAAUAGCGUAUAUUAAAAUUGUUGCGUCUAAAAAGCUCGUAGUUUGAAAACUUGCCUUGACUUACAAUUGGGCUCUCGGGUCCGCCGUUUGUUGAGUGCAAAUAUGGGUAACUGUGUUUGCCGGCUUAGCUGCUGGGCAUACUUCGGUUAUCAAAAAUCACUUUGAUUAAAUUAGAGUGCUCAAAGCAAGUGUGUUACUUGGAUAUAAAUGCAUGGAAUGAUAGAAUAUGCUGUUUGUUCUAUUUGUCGGUUUUUGAACGAUAGAAUGAUUGAAAGGAACUGUUGGGGGCAUUCGUAUUGUUGUGAGAGAGGUGAAAUUCUUAGACCACAGCAAGACGAACUACUGCGAAAGCAUUUGCCAAGAAUGUUUUCAUUGAUCAAGAACGAAAGUUAGAGGUUCGAAGGCGAUCAGAUACCGCCCUAGUUCUAACCAUAAACUAUGCCAACUAGCAAUCUGCUUAUAUAUUUUCUAUGAUUAAGUAGGCGGCCACGGGAAACCAAAGUAGGGUUAUGGGGGAAGUAUGGUUGCAAAGCUGAAACUUAAAGGAAUUGACGGAAGGGCACCACCAGGAGUGGAGCCUGCGGCUUAAUUUGACUCAACACGGGAAAACUUACCUGGUCCUGACACUAGAAGGAUUGACAGAUUGAUAGCUCUUUCUUGAUUUGGUGGAUGGUGGUGCAUGGCCGUUCUUAGUUGGUGGAGUGAUUUGUCUGGUUAAUUCCGAUAACGAACGAGACUCUAGCCUAUUAAAUAACACCCAGAAUCUAGCCUUGUGUGGUGUUUCUUAAUGGGAUCAAGUGUUUUUAACGCUUUGAAACAGAGCAAUAACAGGUCUGUGAUGCCCUUAGAUGUUCGGGGCCGCACGCGCGCUACAUUGAAAGACAAAAUGAGCUUUCUAGUCUUUAACAAGACUAGUAAUCUUUGAAUGUUUUUCUUAAUGGGGAUAGGGGAUUGCAAUUGUGCCCCUUGAACGAGGAAUUCCCAGUAAGUGCUAGUCAUUAGCUAGUACUGAUUACGUCCCUGCCCUUUGUACACACCGCCCGUCGCUACUACCGAUUGAAUGGUUUAGUGAGAUCAUCUGAGCUGGUUUACAUGCACUUUGUGGGUGUAAUCUCUGCAAUGAAGAUCAAAC